UGCUGGUGAACCAAGGUCGCUGAGUACCAUCU
rnacentral:piRNA from 2 species